GUAGAUCUGGCUUAGUGGUAGAGUACUUGCCUAGUAUGCAUGAAGUCCUGGGUUCAAUUCCUCAGUACUAGA
rnacentral:tRNA from 1 species